GGGCCUUGGUAGCGCAGCUAACGCGUGAAGUUGACCGCCUGGGGAGUACGGUCGCAAGAUUAAAACUCAAAGGAAUUGACGGGGACCCGCACAAGCGGUGGAUGAUGUGGAUUAAUUCGAUGCAACGCGAAAAACCUUACCUACCCUUGACAUGUCUGGAAUGCCGAAGAGAUUUGGCAGUGCUCGCAAGAGAACCGGAACACAGGUGCUGCAUGGCUGUCGUCAGCUCGUGUCGUGAGAUGUUGGGUUAAGUCCCGCAACGAGCGCAACCCUUGUCAUUAGUUGCUACGAAAGGGCACUCUAAUGAGACUGCCGGUGACAAACCGGAGGAAGGUGGGGAUGACGUCAAGUCCUCAUGGCCCUUAUGGGUAGGGCUUCACACGUCAUACAAUGGUCGGGACAGAGGGUCGCCAACCCGCGAGGGGGAGCCAAUCCCAGAAACCCGAUCGUAGUCCGGAUCGCAGUCUGCAACUCGACUGCGUGAAGUCGGAAUCGCUAGUAAUCGCGGAUCAGCAUGUCGCGGUGAAUACAUUCCCGGGUCU
rnacentral:rRNA from 1 species